rnacentral:misc_RNA from 1 species
CAGAGUUAUCCAACUCCCAAACCCAUGUGAACUUAUCUCUUUGUUGCCUCGGCGCAAGCUACCCGGGACCUCGCGCCCCGGGCGGCCCGCCGGCGGACAAACCAAAACUCUUGUCAUCUUAGUUGAUUAUCUGAGUGUCUUAUUUAAUAAGUCA